GCGCGCCGCCUCCUCCCGCCGCAGCCCCACCUCUUCUCAGUACUACUGUGGUGCCCGGGUCAGAAGGCCCGAGGCUGCAGAGGCGCGUCGGGAGAGCCUGAUAACCAAAGGUGGCAGGUCAGUCAGCUCCACUCUACCAGAAUAGAAGACAUCAAUCAUUCAGCCUCCGUUCACUCAGAACCUCAGAUAAAACAAUGAGGUCAGUUCUUGUAUGGAUUUGGACAAAGAUGAAUAUAUUUGAAGACUUUAGCAGCCAUCCACUCCAGGUCUUUCAUUUUAAAGGAAACAUCAAUGACCAGAGACUCAACAGUAAUCCACAUUACACAUACGAUUCUGCUGAAAUGAUUUCUCUGCUGGUAUUUACUUCAGAGUUUAUCUAGGAUCAAGUUAAAAGCAAAGAGCAGUAACUGAGUGAUCGUCUGACUCCUUCCAAGUCUUCGAUGUUAACUAUAAAUGGAUCCAUCCACUGCUCACAUAAUUUACUAUGUGGUGAUCUCUUUCAAAUAAUAUUCUCAAAAUUUUUUUCAGUACAAUUUAUGGCAGAAUAAAUCCUUAAAAAAUACUUUAUAAGAAACAAAGAGAAGGACUGAAUAGCUGGCUUAGUGGUUAAGAGCACUGACUGCUCUUCUAGAUGCCCUGGGCUCAGUUCCUAGUACCUACAUGGCAGCUAACAACUAUCCAUGACUCCAGU